AUUGAACGCUGGCGGCAGGCCUAACACAUGCAAGUCGAACGAGUGGCGGACGGGUGAGUAAUGUCUGGGAAACUGCCUGAUGGAGGGGGAUAACUACUGGAAACGGUAGCUAAUACCGCAUACCAUCAGAUGUGCCCAGAUGGGAUUAGCGAGUGGGUGGGGUAACGGCUCACAAGGGCGACGAUCCCUAGCAGGUCUGAGAGGAUGACCAGCCACACUGGAACUGAGAAACGGUCCAGACUCGUACGGGAGGCAGCAGUGGGGAAUAUUGCACAAUGGGCGAAAGCCUGAUGAAGCCAUGCCGCGUGUAUGAAGAAGGCUUUCGGGUUGUAAAGUACUUUCAGCGGGGAGGCGGUACCCGCAGAGGAAGCAACGGCUAACUCCGUGCCAGCAGCCGCGGUAAUAC
rnacentral:rRNA from 1 species